rnacentral:rRNA from 1 species
UGGGGAAUAUUGGACAAUGGGCGAAAGCCUGAUCCAGCAAUGCCGCGUGAGUGAUGAAGGCCUUAGGGUUGUAAAGCUCUUUUACCCGGGAUGAUAAUGACAGUACCGGGAGAAUAAGCUCCGGCUAACUCCGUGCCAGCAGCCGCGGUAAUACGGAGGGAGCUAGCGUUGUUCGGAAUUACUGGGCGUAAAGCGCGCGUAGGCGGUUACUCAAGUCAGAGGUGAAAGCCCGGGGCUCAACCCCGGAACUGCCUUUGAAACUAGGUAACUAGAAUCUUGGAGAGGUCAGUGGAAUUCCGAGUGUAGAGGUGAAAUUCGUAGAUAUUCGGAAGAACACCAGUGGCGAAGGCGACUGACUGGACAAGUAUUGACGCUGAGGUGCGAAAGCGUGGGGAGCAAACAGG